rnacentral:rRNA from 1 species
GGGACAACAGUUGGAAACGACUGCUAAUACCGCAUAAUGUGCCGGGAGGGCAUCCUCCUGGUACCAAAGCUUUAUGUGCUGAAAGAUGGUCUCGCGUCUGAUUAGCUAGUUGGUGAGGUAACGGCUCACCAAGGCGACGAUCAGUAGCCGGUCUGAGAGGAUGAACGGCCACAUUGGGACUGAGAUACGGCCCAGACUCCUACGGGAGGCAGCAGUGGGGAAUAUUGGGCAAUAGGGGAAACCCUGACCCAGCAA